rnacentral:rRNA from 1 species
CGGGAAUUCGAUUAGAGUUUGAUUCUGGCUCAGGACGAACGCUGGCGGCGUGCUUAACACAUGCAAGUCGAGCGGACACCAUCCGGUGGCAACACCGGUGAAGUGUUAGCGGCGAACGGGUGAGUAACACGUGAGCAACCUGCCCCCAAGUCAGGGAUAACCCCGGGAAACCGGAGCUAAUACCUGAUGCCCUCUCCGGAUCGCAUGGUCUGGCGAGGAAAGAAUUUCGCUUGGGGAGGGGCUCGCGGCCUAUCAGCUUGUUGGUGGGGUAACGGCCUACCAAGGCUCCGACGGGUAGCUGGUCUGAGGGGACGACCAGCCACACUGGGACUGAGACACGGCCCAGACUCCUACGGGAGGCAGCAGUGGGGAAUCUUGCGCAAUGGGCGAAAGCCUGACGCAGCAACGCCGCGUGGGGGAUGAAGGCUCUCGGGUCGUAAACCCCUUUCAGUGGGAACGAAAUUGACGGUACCCACAGAAGAAGGACCGGCCAACUACGUGCCAGCAGCCGCGGUAACACGUAGGGUCCGAGCGUUGUCCGGAUUUAUUGGGCGUAAAGGGCCCGUAGGCGGUUUGAUAAGUCGGNNNUGAAAACUCCAGGCUCAACC